GAUGAACGCUAGCGGCAGGCCUAAUACAUGCAAGUCGAACGAGAUUAAGGGGCUUGCUCCUUAUGAAAGUGGCGCACGGGUGCGUAACGCGUAUGCAACCUACCUCAAUCAGGGGGAUAGCCCGAAGAAAUUCGGAUUAACACCGCAUAAAAACACAGGAUAGCAUUAUCUAAUGUUCAAAUAUUUAUAGGAUUGAGAUGGGCAUGCGUGUCAUUAGCUAGUUGGCGGGGUAACGGCCCACCAAGGCGACGAUGACUAGGGGAUCUGAGAGGAUGACCCCCCACACUGGUACUGAGACACGGACCAGACUCCUACGGGAGGCAGCAGUAAGGAAUAUUGGUCAAUGGAGGCAACWCUGAACCAGCCWUGCCGCGUGCAGGAAGACAGCCCUCUGGGUCGUAAACUGCUUUUAUUCGGGAAUAAACCUUAUUACGUGUAAUAAG
rnacentral:rRNA from 1 species